rnacentral:lncRNA from 1 species
GGAGUAUUAUCUUCAGUAUAAAAUAUAAGCAUUUCCAUCGCAAUUCAUAAUAGAAUUUGUCUUAUCAAUCACUUAACAUUUAAAUUUUUUGUCAUCUUACAUUCAUCUAGACAUCUACAAUGCUAGCUCUAUUUAUUCUAUGUUUACUCGAGAUAGAGCGAUUAACGUUAAAGUCUUUUAUUCUUAGCAUAUUAUUCUUGGUCUUAUGCUGAACAAUUUGAAAAUAUUUAUAAUUUGUAGCAGAUGGAGUAAGUCUUAAGAGUUUUGUUGAUCAAUAAAACUGGCAACCAUGCACCACCUUCUUCAAAGAAAGCCAGGCUUUUGAAAGACCACACUUAGGGCACUAACAAAUGGCUCUCAUUACCGUCUCUGUCGCUGGUAUCGAACGGAAAAAAUGCGAACGAGUAAUUAAUUAGUCUUUUUUAGAGAAAUGUAUUUUACCCGACCUCUGCUCCUAUGAAGAUUUGAACCCAGGACCUCGGGUGUUACUCAGGUCACUAUAACCACUAGGCUACAUGCCCU